UCUGCUCAGGGGUGUCCAGGGACAGGACAAGGGGCAAUGGGCACAAACUGGAGCACAGGAGGUUUAACCCAAACACAAGAAACUCCUCCUUUACUCUGAGGGUUACAGAACCCUGGGACAGGCUACCCAGGGAGGCUGUGGAGUCUCCAUCCCUGGAGACAUUCCAAACCUUCCUGGAUGUGAUCCUGUGGGAUCUGCUCACAGGGAUCCUGCUCUAGCAGGAGGAUUGGACUAGAUGAUCUCCAGAGGUCCCUUCCAACCCCUACCACUCAGUGAUCCUGUGAAAAUGAUCAUACAUUCAUAUCUCUAAGCCAUUUUUUCUUAGCAUAAAAGCAUAAUAAUAGUAAUAGAGUGGACUUUUAUAAUAAAAACUACUUUGUAAAUCACUUUGUUAUUGCCUUUUUUGUGGUAAUAGGUGGGAUUUAGCAUUUGCUGUGAUCAGAGGUUAUAAUUACUGUGGAUUUAAUGUACAGUUAAGAACAGAAGCAUUUUCCAUGUAUUACUCUAUCACUUUUACUGGCACCUGCUUACUUGUCAAUGGACUGGACAGUGUGUCAUCAGGAUUUUGGUCCUGAACUCAUAGCUUAGUCCCUUCCUCCUGGAAGAGGCCUCUGAAAAGUAAUGUUUGGAGCUGUAACAAUCUGUGCCUUCCCAAGUUGCCUCAAGGUACUAUCUCCACCUCAUCAUGCACCUUGUGUGUGUCCUCCUGACACCAGUUGGGUUUUCCUUUAGAUCUAAUCAGCCGUGUUUGAUAACCUCAGGCUUGUGUUAAGCAAUUGCCCAGUGGACCAGCAAAGAUCUGUUUUCUGGUGGAGCCAGGCUGCAAAUGAAUCUCAAAUACAGGAUUGGUAAGUUUGGGGAUGCUAAGGGCAUGCUUUGCUGAGCUGGUGUUACUUGUUUGAACGGUUCUGGGUGCUGAGCUGUGAGUUCUACCUUUCCUUUCUGCCCGGUGUGUGUCCAUGCCUGGGUAGGACCUGAUGACUAAUAAAAUCAUGAGCCUCUGGACUUCUGUCAGUAUGGCUACUUCAGGUGUGUUUGAGUUUUCCAGCCUCAGACAUGCCUUGGUUUCUGUCACAGGAACCACACACAGCAACACUGAGAGGCAGUUGCCACAAUUGCUCCUCAGCCUGCCUCAGUUACUCUGCCACUGAGCCUUUCUGAAAAAGAGAUGGGCUUCCUAUGCAGCGUGAUGGGGUUUGGUUGCAAAACAGGAGGUUACACAUCUGGAAUCCUGCAUCCAGUUCUGGGUUCCCCAGUUCAUAAAGGAUAAGCAACUGCUGGAAAAAGUCCAGCACAGGGCCAUAAAGACGAUUAGAGGAAUGGAAAGGCAGGGAGAGCUGCAGCUGUUCAGCUUGGAGAAGAGGAGACUGAGGGGGGAUCUCAGCAAUGCUUUCAGCAGUGUCCAAUGACAGGACAAGGGCUAAUGGGCACAAGCUGGAGCACAGGAGGUUCAAUUUAAACGUAAGGAAAACUGCUUUACUGUGAGAGUAACAGCACUGGAACAGGCUGCCCAGAGAGGUUGUGGAGUCUCCUCUGGAGACAUUCAAAACCCACCUGGAUGUGUUCCUGUGUGAUGUAGUCUAGGGGAUCCUGCUCUAAGCAGGGGGGUCGGACUAGAUGACCUUCAGAGGUCCCCCUGACCACUCUGUGAUUGUGAUUCAGCCUAAAAAAGUAGAGGAUGAUAGAGAAUAAAUUGGUUGAGAGGUGCCUUAUUUCCAAAUUCUGCUCCUCGACCUGCCAAUGGGGAUGAAAGGAAGCAAAGAAGGUACAACCCCACCCAGGUAGAGCGGGGAGGAAAUGCAAAUAAGCCUAAAUCUUCAUCAAGGCAGAAUAAAGGGGGAGGAGAAGCUCCUUUGACCUGCUGGUCACAUGCAAAGCACCAGGAAUUGAAGAGCUGGCCCCUGUGUGUCUGUCCAGGCCUUAUGGCAGGGCUGUAACCUCCAGAAAUUUGGCUGGGAGAGGGGUUAGCUCUAAACUUUUGCAUUGUUAAUACAGCUUUAGCAGUGGAGCCUUUUGGCUGGGUGACUUGUUUAAUAAUAUAUGUUGAUUAUUUCCUUGAUGUGGGGAGUGUGUUCAUUGAAUUUUUUUGAAUGUUCUGAUCAGACUGCCUCUAGUAUGAUUUUUAUCUUCUCGUUCCAGAUACUUGAAGACAUUGAGUACCUGAAGUUUUACAAGGGGCUGUGGCUGGAGCCAGGAUGAUGUUUCUUUCCAUCAGCUGAGACAAUAAUAAGCAUGACUUCCAGUAACUGAACAUUGCUUAGCAUCAGGUCUCAGGGAAAAUGGUUAAAACCUGGAGUUUAUAGCAGUGUGUUUAUAUUUGAACUUUGACUUGUUUUUUUUUGGUCAGAAUCCAGCAGUGAGAGCAGGCUUUUGUAAUACUGGUGUUUGUCACUGUGAUACAGUGUGGCAUCGUGGUGCUGCUGCAGCUGAUGGGUGAGACGAGAGGACAGAUACGAGUCUCCUGCCACAGCUUGCACAAACUUCACUUGUGAAAACAUGUCAGGCCCAGUGCCAGAGAGAGGACCAGGUGUAAGGACGGGACAGAGGCUGCAGGGAGUCUGCUGCCUGUUGCCAGUGUUGGAAUUGCAUCCCGGAGCAUCAAGUGCCAAACGUGGGUGCUAGUUCAUGAGCAUGAAAGCCAAUGUUUCCCUCACUUUUUCCAAUGUCCAAGUAGAAAAUAACUUGUGCUGCCCAGCCUUCCGCAGAUUUGCAUGUGUCCCAUGCCUACAUGAAUUUUUCCUUUUGGAAGGUGUUCAGUGCAUUCCUGGUGGGCUGCCUGUUCCAAAUGCUGGCACAUGGGUGUUUCUGGAAGGCUGCACCAGAACUCCCGGUCCAUCAUUAGCAUCUCAACACAUGGAUUCCUGGAAAAUGCCUGCAGUAUCGACAUUAUCAGACUCGUAACUGCCCCAUACAUGGUCUUUCCCCAAACCCAAGUUUACUGCACAGCCAGAUUUAUCAGGAAAACACAGAUAAGUUGACUUGCAGCCUGAGUGCACCCCAGGGGGGGUUGUUCUGAGAGCCCUGAAAGAAUUCGGGCAAGGUGUGGCUGUCUCACUACUAAAAAAUACCUUUGUUUUACUUCUAGGAGAGAAAUCUCAACAUAGAAUCACAAGUAGGUGAUAAGGGCAGCAAGAGCUCUUUUUUUGAGGACAGCCCAACAAUGCUCUCAGAAAUUACAGAUGCAGGAGCCCCUGGCAAAUGGUUUAAAUGACAAAGAGGAUACAUCAAGAAAUCUUCAACUGUUCUUUUCUUUCUUAGAAGGACUAACAGCUGUCCAAGUAUUUCAAGUCCUUUUGCUCAGGUCAAUAAGGCCGCAGGGAGAACCUAUUGAGGCUGCUGGGUUCUUCAGUGUCCUAAACCGGGAUCGUAAACACUGCAGAAAUCUGCACUUCCAGUGUUCCCUUUUUCAGGGACAGAGAAAAGGACAUGUCUGGUCAUCAGUGCAUGAGGUGAACAGCUGGACCCUCUGGUUCCAGUCACCAACAGCCAGUUGUGUUUUCUCCUCACUUGUGGAAACUAAAAAAGUGAAACCAAGCUGGGUUUUUGUUGUGGUGGUGGUGUUAAUUUGGUUUAUUGAAUUUUUUGUUCGUUUGUGGUUUUUUUAAUGCACAUCAGCUAUGGCUCACUCUGAUGAUACUUAGUUGGCAAAGUUUUCACUGAAAUCCAUAAAAAGUCAAAUAAUACAA